AUUGAACGCUGGCGGCAGGCCUAACACAUGCAAGUCGAGCGGAUGAAGGGAGCUUUCUCCUGGAUUCAGCGGCGGACGGGUGAGUAAUGCCUAUGAAUCUGCCUGGUAGUGUGGUAUAACGUCCUGUAACGGGCGCUAAUACCGCAUACGUCCUUAGGUACAAAGUUGGGGUUCUUCGGACCUCACGCUAUCAGAUUAGCCUAGGUCGUAUUAGCUAGUUGGUGUGGUAAAGUCAUACCAAGGCGACGAUCCGUAACUGGUCUGAGAGGAUGAUCAGUCACACUGGAACUGAGACACGGUCCAGACUCCUACGGGAGGCAGCAGUGGGGAAUAUUGGACAAUGGGCGAAAGCCUGAUCCAGCAAUGCCGCGUGUGUGAAGAAGGUCUUCGGAUUGUAAAGCACUUUAAGUUGGGAGGAAGGGAAGUAAGAUAAUACCUUGCUGUUUUGACGUUACCAAAAGAAUAAGCACCGGCUAACUUCGUG
rnacentral:rRNA from 1 species